rnacentral:rRNA from 1 species
UACGGGGGGGGGCAAGCGUUGUUCGGAAUUACUGGGCGUAAAGGCUCGUAGGCGGCCAACUAAGUCAGACGUGAAAUCCCCAGGCUCAACCUGGGAACUGCGUCUGAUACUGGAUGGCUUGAAUCCGGGAGAGGGAUGCAGAAUUCCAGGUGUAGCGGUGAAAUGCGUAGAUAUCUGGAGGAAUACCGGUGGCGAAGGCGGCAUCCUGGACCGGCAUUGACGCUGAGGAGCGAAAGCCAGGGGAGCAAACGGG